rnacentral:lncRNA from 1 species
UUAUAUCUCCAUUAGUCGAGCUGUUAUAAUUAAUGAUUGGUAUCAAGACAACUAAUCAAGCUUACAUGGAAAUAAAACUUGCUUCUUCGAUGAGUUACGUUACACGUGUUAAACUUAACAUGCGUUAUACUACAAAUUCAAAAAUAGCCGCCGGCGUGGGGGCCAAAGUACAUUGCUUUCUCUUCUAUUUUGAUCCCAGAAAUUGAGACCAAUUCUCGUUUAAUUAAUGAAAAUUGGGACCGGGUGGAAGCGGGCAAAUUGCUUCAAUUAUGAUAAACAUGAUGCCCAGUCAAGGAGCAAUGACUAGGAUUUGACGGUGAAGAGAAAAAGGUGACACCAAAUGAGGUGAUCAAUUUCAUCGUUUAUUAUUAUUAUUUGCUUCUCCUUAAUGCAAGUUGCACGGUUACUGUGUUCAUCUUCAAUUAGUAAAUUAAAUCAGUCAAGCUGGAUUCAUUAAUUAAACCCUAAAAAGUCAUGCAAGUUGCCUUACAUGAUUGAUAAUUUUUUA